UAGGGAAUCUUCCACAAUGGGCGAAAGCCUGAUGGAGCAACGCCGCGUGUGUGAUGAAGGGUUUCGGCUCGUAAAACACUGUUGUAAGAGAAGAAUGACAUUGAGAGUAACUGUUCAAUGUGUGACGGUGUCUUACCAGAAAGGAACGGCUAAAUACGUGCCAA
rnacentral:rRNA from 1 species